GCCAAUCUCUCCAAAGCCGGAAGUGGGUGCUGCAGAGGCACUCUCUUUCUGGGAGAGGUGUUUCCCUGCUGCUGUUCCUCCUCCUGUUCCCGGCUGGGCUUCGUGGAAAACAGUGUCCAUAUGAAUGAGCACAGCUCUGUUCUUCCAACUACACUUUUAAGUACUUGUGUCCAUUUGCCAUAGCAGACAUGAGUGGCUCCAAACCUGACAUUCUUUGGGCUCCCCACCAUGUGGAUAGAUUUGUUGUAUGUGAUUCAGAACUCAGUCUCUACCACAUUGAAUCUGCUGUAAGUUCAGAACUCAAAGCAGGGUCACUGCGUUUAUCUGAAGAAACUACAGCCACCCUAUUGUCCAUCAAUUCAGACACUCCAUAUCUGAAAUGUGUAGCUUGGUAUCCUAAGUAUGAUCCUGAAUGUCUUCUGGCAGUUGGGCAAGCCAAUGGUCGAGUUGUGCUUACUAGUCUCGGCCAAGAUCACAACUCAAAGUGCAAAGAUUUGAUAGGAAAAGAGUUUGUUCCAAAACAUGCACGACAAUGUAACACUCUAGCAUGGAAUCCGCUAGACAGUAAUUGGCUUGCUGCUGGCCUGGAUAAACACCGGGCUGACUUUUCAGUGCUUAUCUGGGACAUCAGUAGCAAAUAUACUCCAGAAACUCCAAUUACUACUGAGAAAGUAAAGCUGUCGGCUGGAGAUACUGAAGCAGGACUGGUUGUAACCAAACCGCUUUAUGAAUUGGGGCAGAAUGAUGCUUGCCUUUCUCUUUGUUGGCUUCCACGGGAUCAGAAACUUCUUUUAGCUGGAAUGCACCGAAACCUGGCUAUCUUUGACCUUAGGAAUACAAGCCAAAAAAUGUUUGUGAAUACCAAGGCUGUUCAGGGUGUAACUGUUGAUCCAUACUUCCAUGAUCGUGUAGCUUCCUUCUAUGAAGGUCAAGUGGCCAUAUGGGACCUUAGAAAAUUUGAAAAACCUGUGUUAACCCUAACAGAACAACCGAAACCUUUAACAAAAGUAGCAUGGUGUCCUACUAGAACUGGAUUACUGGCUACUUUAACCAGGGAUAGUAACAUCAUCAAGCUCUAUGAUAUGCAGCACACUCCUACACCUAUAGGGGAUGAAACUGAACCUACAAUCAUUGAAAGAAGUGUGCAGCCUUGUGAACACUAUAUUGCUUCCUUUGCAUGGCAUCCUACAAAUCAAAAUCGCAUGGUAGUUGUGACUCCCAGUAGGACUAUGUCUGACUUCACUGUGUUUGAAAGGAUCUCCUUGGCAUGGAGCCCAGUCACUUCUUUAAUGUGGGCAUGCGGGAGACACUUGUAUGAAUGCACAGAGGAAGGGGAGGCAAGUUCCUUGGAAAAAGACAUUGCCACCAAAAUGCGUCUAAGAGCUUUAUCCAGGUAUGGCCUUGACACGGAACAGGUCUGGAGAAACCAUGUUCUAGCUGGAAAUGAAGACCCACAACUGAAGUCGCUUUGGUACACUCUGCACUUUAUGAAACAGUAUAACGAUGAUAUGGAUCAGAAAUGCACAGGAAAUAAAGGAUCCUUAGUUUACGCAGGCAUCAAAUCGAUAGUGAAAACAUCUAUGGGAACAACAGAGAACCUCAGGCACAGCAGGAGUGGAUCUGACAGGCAGGCAGAUAUUAUUCAGUAUCUGAGUGAAGAAAGGUCAUUGGCUUUACAGCUUUGUGGGUGGAUAAAGAAAGGCACAGAUUUGGAUGUGGAACCCUUUCUACAUUCCUUGGAACAAGAAGGAGACUGGGAGCGAGCUGCUGCUGUAGCCCUAUUCAACUUGGACAUCCGACGAGCAAUACAGAUACUGAACAAAGGAGCUUCUUCUGGAAAAGGUGAUCUAAAUCUCAACGUUGUGGCCAUGGCACUGUCAGGUUACACAGAUGAAAAGAACUCCUUGUGGAGGGAGAUGUGUAGCACUCUAAGGUUACAGCUCAACAACCCAUACCUGUGUGCCAUGUUUGCUUUUCUGACAAGUGAAUCGGGUUCUUAUGAUGGGGUUUUGUAUGAAAGUAAUGUAGCUGUACGAGACAGAGUGGCAUUUGCUUGCAAAUUUCUGACUGAUGCCCAGCUGAACAGAUUCAUUGAAAAACUAACCAAUGAAAUGAAAGAAGCUGGGAACCUUGAAGGAAUCCUACUGACAGGACUCACAAAGGAUGGAGUAGACUUAAUGGAAAGUUAUGUUGAUAGAACAGGAGACGUUCAGACAGCAAGCUACUGUAUGCUACAGGGUUCUCCCUCUGAUGUACUUAAAGAUGAACGGGUUCAAUAUUGGAUUGAAAACUACCGUAAUCUAUUAGAUGCAUGGAGGUUUUGGCAUAAACGAGCAGAAUUUGACAUCCAUCGCAGUAAACUGGAUCCCAGCUCCAAACCUUUAGCACAGGUAUUUGUAAGUUGCAACUUUUGCGGAAAAUCAAUCUCCUACAGCUGCUCAACCAUUCCACAUCAAGGCCGGGGUUUCAGUCAGUAUGGUGUAAGUGGAUCCCCAACCAAGUCGAAAGUCACAAGUUGUCCUGGUUGCCGCAAGCCUCUUCCUCGCUGUGCACUUUGCCUAAUAAAUAUGGGCACUCCAGUUUCUAGUUGCCCUGGAGGAUCCAAAUCAGAUGAAAAGGUGGACCUCAGCAAGGACAAGAAAUUAGCUCAGUUCAACAACUGGUUUACUUGGUGUCACAAUUGUAGGCAUGGUGGUCAUGCUGGACACAUGCUUAGCUGGUUCAGGGAUCAUACAGAAUGCCCUGUUUCUGCAUGUUCAUGUAAAUGUAUGCAGCUGGAUACCACCGGGAACCUCAUACCAGCAGAGAUGGUCCAACCAUAAAAUGACAGAACUCAAAUAACGACUUUCACAAUGGAGGCUCCUCUAAUACAUGUCCUUCACAACCCAAGUAGAUACCAUAGAUCCCUGGUGCUUCUUGAAAAGCUACUUGUGGGGAAUGGAAACAACCAGCAUUUGAAAAAUCAGAUUAUCCUAAAACACGGCAGUGGUGAGGGAGAAAAUCAAAAUCAAACUGGUCAUGCAGAUAUCCAUAUGGAAGCAACUUCCACUUCUACACAGGACACUUUGGAUCCAAGCCAGUUUGUACACAGACAUGGUUUUUAAAGGGAAAAACAAAUCUAAUUAAAACAUUUAUUUUUAUGUACUCAUCUGUGUUGGCCUUUAUUGAUUGCCUCACUCAAAGGCAACUUCCAGUCAAAAUUAUAUUUUUAUUGUUAAUCUAUAUUGAAAAGAAUACCACAGAAUCCAAAUUGUUAUUGUUUUUGUAAUACUGUCAAAAGAUCAGCAGACAUUUCAGUUUCUUUCUAGAAUUAAUUUUAAGCCAUUAAGAGCAAUGUAUAGACUUUAUUUUUGUGUCCUUGCUUUUGGAGUAUUAAGAGCAUAGAUAUUAACUUGGUUGUCUUCCCCUAUGUUAAAAAAAGGGUGUUAUGGAAAUAUGAACUGUUAAGGUGUAACUUGGCAUUCUGUUUGUGAAAUAAAAGGAGCCACAUUUUGACUAAA